rnacentral:rRNA from 1 species
UACGGGGGGGGGCAAGCGUUGUUCGGAAUUACUGGGCGUAAAGGGCGCGUAGGCGGUUUGCUAAGUUGAAUGUGAAAACUCUGGGCUUAACCCAGAGCCUGCAUUCAAUACUGGCAGGCUAGAGUUCUGGAGGGGAUAGCGGAAUUCCUGGUGUAGCGGUGAAAUGCGCAGAUAUCAGGAGGAACACCAGUGGCGAAGGCGGCUUACUGGUCCGGUUCUGACGCUGAGGCGCGAAAGCGUGGGGAGCAAACAGG